AUUGAACGCUGGCGGCAGGCCUAACACAUGCAAGUCGAGCGGAGCGGCGGACGGGUGAGUAAUGCCUAGGAAUCUGCCUGGUAGUGGGGGAUAACGUCCGGAAAUGGGCGCUAAUACCGCAUACUAUCAGAUGAGCCUAGGUCGGAUUAGCUAGUUGGUGGGGUAAAGGCCUACCAAGGCGACGAUCCGUAACUGGUCUGAGAGGAUGAUCAGUCACGCUGGAACGAAGACACGGUCCAGACGCCUACGGUAGGCAGCAAUGGAGAAUAUUGUACAAUGGGCGAAAACAUGAUCCAGCCAAGCCGCGUGUGGGAAGAAGGUCUUCGGAUUGUAAAGCACUUUAAGUUGGGAGGCGUUACCAACAGAAUAAGCACCGGCUAACUUCGUGCCAGCAGCCGCGGUAAUAC
rnacentral:rRNA from 1 species